UACAGAGGGUGCGAGCGUUGUCCGGAAUCACUGGGCGUAAAGGGCGCGUAGGCGGCCUGAUAAGUCGGGGGUGAAAUCCUGUGGCUUAACCACAGGGCUGCCUCCGAGACUGUCGGGCUCGAGCACAGUAGAGGCAGGUGGAAUUCCCGGUGUAGCGGUGGAAUGCGUAGAGAUCGGGAAGAACAUCGGUGGCGAAGGCGGCCUGCUGGGCUGUUGCUGACGCUGAGGUGCGAAAGCGUGGGGGAGCAAACAGG
rnacentral:rRNA from 1 species